GACGAACGCUGGCGGCGUGCCUAAUACAUGCAAGUCGAGCGAGACUCUUUGGAGUCUAGCGGCGGACGGGUGAGUAACACGUGGGCAACCUGCCUGUAAGACUGGGAUAACACCGGGAAACCGGUGCUAAUACCGGAUAAUCCUUUUCCUCUCAUGAGGAAAAGCUGAAAGUCGGUAUCGGCUGAGACUUACAGAUGGGCCCGCGGCGCAUUAGUUAGUUGGUGAGGUAACGGCUCACCAAGGCGACGAUGCGUAGCCGACCUGAGAGGGUGAUCGGCCACACUGGGACUGAGACACGGCCCAGACUCCUACGGGAGGCAGCAGUAGGGAUUCUUCCACAAUUGACGAAAGUCUGAUGGAGCAACGCCGCGUGAGCGAUGAAGGCCUUCGUGUCGUAAAGCUCUGUUGUUAGGGAAGAACAAGUACCGGAGUAACUGCCGGUACCUUGACGGUACCUAACCAGAAAGCCACGGCUAACUACGUGCCAGCCGCCGCCGUAACAC
rnacentral:rRNA from 1 species